rnacentral:lncRNA from 1 species
AUAGAUUAUUUUUUAACAUCCACAUAUUUAUAAUAUUUUAAAGUAUAAAGAAAAUAAAAAGUAAAGCAAAAAAGGAAAACAGUAAACAAAAAAUAAGGACGGUCUAUGUGGGGCUCCCUCGACGCGAGGUUGCCUUGUGUCUCGCUUAUAGGAGACUAGGGGCGCCCGAUAUUUUAGGCCUCAUUGGUUUGCUAUGGAAAGAAAUUCUAGGGUGAAAAAGGCACGUGUGUAAUUUCAUUGACAUAGGGGGAUCGACGGGGUGUUUUCACAUUGUCAUUUGACAGUUCGUGGAGUUCUCCACACAAAAGACAAUCGAGAAGAGAAAACUAAAUGAGAGGUUCUUCAACCUCGACGCGGCUUCAUUAGAAAAUUGAGACCAUCUUCAACCUAUUAACC